rnacentral:rRNA from 1 species
GGUGUAUCAGGGCCAGAAGACUCGGGAAUGCGGAGGGUACGAGCGUUAAACGGAAUUACUGGGCGUAAAGCGUGCGUAGGCGGUUGGAUAAGCGAGAUGUGAAAGCCCUGGGCUCAACCUAGGAAGAGCAUUUCGAACUGGCGAACUAGAGUCUUGUAGAGGGGGGUAGAAUUCCAGGUGUAGCGGUGAAAUGCGUAGAUAUAGGAAGGAACACCAGUGGCGAAGGCGACCACCUGGACUGAUACUGACACUGAGGUGCGAAAGCGUGGGGAGCAAACAGGAUUAGAUACCCGAGUAGUC